UUAGGAAUAUUGGACAAUGGGCGCAAGCCUGAUCCAGCCAUGCCGCGUGAGCGAUGAAGGCCUUCGGGUUGUAAAGCUCUUUAGUCCACGAAUAUAAUGACUGUAGUGGAAGAAUAAGCCCCGGCUAACUUCGUGCCAGCAGCCGCGGUAAUACGAAGGGGGCGAGCGUUGUUCGGAAUCACUGGGCGUAAAGCGUGCGUAGGCUGUUUUGCAAGUUGGAAGUGAAAUCCCGAGGCUCAACCUCGGAAUUGCUUUCAAAACUGCAAGACUUGAAUUCGGGAGAGGAUAGCGGAAUUGUCAGUGUAGCAGUGAAAUGCGUAGAUAUUGACAGGAACACCAGUGGCGUAAGCGGCUAUCUGGACCGACAUUGACGCUGAGGCACGAAAGCGUGGGGAUCAAACAGG
rnacentral:rRNA from 1 species